rnacentral:rRNA from 1 species
UACGAAGGGUGCAAGCGUUACUCGGAAUUACUGGGCGUAAAGCGUGCGUAGGCGGUUUGUUAAGUCUGUCGUGAAAGCCCCGGGCUCAACCUGGGAAUGGCGAUGGAUACUGGCGAGCUAGAGUACGGUAGAGGAGAGUGGAAUUCCCGGUGUAGCAGUGAAAUGCGUAGAGAUCGGGAGGAACAUCAGUGGCGAAGGCGGCUCUCUGGAACAGUACUGACGCUGAGGCGCGAAAGCGUGGGGAGCAAACAGG